AAGCGUUUGCGACCAGACCUUUUCCUGGUGGAUCAUCCGGUGUUCUCACCGGUGCACUUCGCCAGGUUUAGGCCAGCAUCGGUUCCUGUAGGGGGAUAAAAGCCUGAGGAAUGUAGCUCCCACGGGAGUGUUAUAGCCCUGAGCAUAAUACCCUUACGGGGACCGAGGACCGCGCUUUGGCAAGGAUGCUGGCAUAAUGGUCGU
rnacentral:rRNA from 1 species